rnacentral:lncRNA from 1 species
UAAAUACUAAAUACUAAAUCUAAAACCCAAAUAAACAAACCCUAAACCCAAAUAUAAACCAUAAACCCAAAUAUAAACUCUAAACCCUAAUCACUAAACCAUAAACCCAAAUAUAAACUCUAAACUCUAAUCACUAAAUUAUAAAUCCACAUAUAAACCCUAAACUCAAAUAGAAUGGAACAAAAUAAAUAGCGUAGUAUAUAUUGAUGAAAUUAUGAACCCUAAACCCUAAUAUAAGCCAUCAACCCAAAUAUAAACUCUAAACCCUAAUCACUAAACCAUAAACCCACAUAUAAACCCUAAACCUAAAUAGAAUGAAACAAAAUAAAUAGCGUAGUAUAUAUUGAUGAAAUUAUGAACCCUAAACCCUAAUAUAAGCCAUCAACCCAAAUAUAAACUCUAAACUCUAAUCACUAAAUUAUAAAUCCACAUAUAAACCCUAAACUCAAAUAGAAUGGAACAAAAUAAAUAGCAUAGUAUAUUUUGAUGAAAUUAUGAAAUGUCAUUGAUUCCAUAGAAUAAGUUAAUGCUGACCCCAACUAUAACCACUCACCUUCUAAAUACUAAAACCUAAAUCCUAAUCAC